UACCAGCACCCCGAGUGGUCUGGACGAUUAUUGGGCCUAAAGCAUCCGUAGCCGGUUUUACAAGUCCUCCGUUAAAUCCAACUGCUUAACAGGUGGGCCGCGGAGGAUACUAUAAGACUAGGAGGCAGGAGAGGCAAGCGGUACUCAGUGGGUAGGGGUAAAAUCCGUUGAUCCAUUGAAGACCACCAGUGGCGAAGGCGGCUUGCCAGAAUGCGCUCGACGGUGAGGGAUGAAAGCUGGGGGAGCAAGCCGG
rnacentral:rRNA from 1 species